rnacentral:rRNA from 1 species
AUUGAACGCUGGCGGCAGGCCUAACACAUGCAAGUCGAGCGGUAGCACAGAGAGCUUGCUCUCGGGUGACGAGCGGCGGACGGGUGAGUAAUGUCUGGGAAACUGCCUGAUGGAGGGGGAUAACUACUGGAAACGGUAGCUAAUACCGCAUAACGUCGCAAGACCAAAGUGGGGGACCUUCGGGCCUCAUGCCAUCAGAUGUGCCCAGAUGGGAUUAGCUAGUAGGUGGGGUAACGGCUCACCUAGGCAACGAUCCCUAGCUGGUCUGAGAGGAUGACCAGCCACACUGGAACUGAGACACGGUCCAGACUCCUACGGGAGGCAGCAGUGGGGAAUAUUGCACAAUGGGCGCAAGCCUGAUGCAGCCAUGCCGCGUGUGUGAAGAAGGCCUUCGGGUUGUAAAGCACUUUCAGCGGGGAGGAAGGCGGUGAGGUUAAUAACCUCAUCGAUUGACGUUACCCGCAGAAGAAGCACCGGCUAACUCCGUGCCAGCAGCCGCGGUAAUACGGAGGGUGCAAGCGUUAAUCGGAAUUACUGGGCGUAAAGCGCACGCAGGCGGUCUGUCAAGUCGGAUGUGAAAUCCCCGGGCUCAACCUGGGAACUGCAUUCGAAACUGGCAGGCUAGAGUCUUGUAGAGGGGGGUAGAAUUCCAGGUGUAGCGGUGAAAUGCGUAGAGAUCUGGAGGAAUACCGGUGGCGAAGGCGGCCCCCUGGACAAAGACUGACGCUCAGGUGCGAAAGCGUGGGGAGCAAACAGGAUUAGGUACCCUGGUAGUCCACGCCGUAAGCGAUGUCGAUUUGGAGGUUGUGCCCUUGAGGCGUGGCUUCCGGAGCUAACGCGUUAAAUCGACCGCCUGGGGAGUACGGCCGCAAGGUUAAAACUCAAAUGAAUUGACGGGGGCCCGCACAAGCGGUGGAGCAUGUGGUUUAAUUCGAUGCAACGCGAAGAACCUUACCUGGUCUUGACAUCCACAGAACUUUCCAGAGAUGGAUUGGUGCCUUCGGGAACUGUGAGGCAGGUGCUGCAUGGCUGUCGUCAGCUCGUGUUGUGAAAUGUUGGGUUAAGUCCCGCAACGAGCGCAACCCUUAUCCUUUGUUGCCAGCGGUUAGGCCGGGAACUCAAAGGAGACUGCCAGUGAUAAACUGGAGGAAGGUGGGGAUGACGUCAAGUCAUCAUGGCCCUUACGACCAGGGCUACACACGUGCUACAAUGGCAUAUACAAAGAGAAGCGACCUCGCGAGAGCAAGCGGACCUCAUAAAGUAUGUCGUAGUCCGGAUUGGGGUCUGCAACUCGACUCCAUGAAGUCGGAAUCGCUAGUAAUCGUAGAUCAGAAUGCUACGGUGAAUACGUUCCCGGGCCU